UCCUGGCUGGGGGAAACCCUAGCCCUAGCCUUGCUUCUCUCGCGCCCUUCUGCGUUCUGGAAUUCCGUGCCUGGGUCUGGAGACAGGCUGACGGGGAGGAAGAGGGUGGGAACUAGAGCGCCGGGACCCGGAUCCCGGGGGACCGGAAGUAGCUGCCUCUCCCCGGCCCCGGCGCCGAAGGAAUGGAUUGCCCCGGGAUGCUCGGGCCUGGGCAGCGUCCUUUGCCCCUUUCCCAUCUCUCCCCGCCCGACCCUGCUCUUACUUCUCCCCCCAACCUCAUCUCGGUAGUCGCGAAGCAUCCAUCCCGGGAAGGCUCGCGGAGGUCGCGGGGCAUCAUGGUCCAGCGUCCGCGAGACCACUCCCAGCCUCCCGAGCGCUAGUCCUAGGCCCUUCGCUACUACGGGCGGGGGCUUGGUCAGCGCUUGUCUGCCAGCGCUGGGACAGAGGUCGCCGCUGUUCAGUUCUGUCACAGCAAAGCUGUGCGUUCUUCCGCACGCUGAGCCGCGGGACUUGUGUCCCCUUCCUAAUCAUAAUCCCCCCCGGUGCUAAAGUAAACUAAGUCCCCCGCCCACAGGACAGCCUCUGAACGCAGCCGUGUUCCCUACCCGAGUUUUCUCCGGGUUAACAAUCCUGUUAAAAGGCCGCCCACUCCACAGAGACGGCCCGUUUGGGGUUUGGAAGCGCAGGACCGUCACCACUGCCUGGGCUGGACACGUUACCCCCAGCCCCUAAUCUUUCCUCACUUAAGUGAGAAAAGUGAGGCUUAGAAUGGUCUUCCCAAUGUCCUACCUACAAUUAGCAGUGGAUAAGACAGAUAAGAGAUAGUUGGAGAGGAGAAUAAGUUCUGGAAAAAAUGGUAUCAUUAUUCUGUGCAUCCUCAUCAGGAAGGUUAAGAAAUGUUCCCUCUACUGUGAAGUGGACACUUCGGGAUGAUGAUGAUGAUGAUGCAUCAGACUCUAUGAUGACAAUCGUGGCCUGGUUUGUAUUAGGUUUGAAGAAAUUCCACUAUGACAAAAUUCUGUGGGAAUAAUAGAAAAGAAUCAGCCGAAGUGGAAAAUAUAGGAUCCAAGGAAAUGUUUCAAUGACCCCAGUGCCAACAAUUCCCGGAGAAGUUUAAGGAGGAAUCAGGGGAAGUGGGUAUAACCUUGGGGAAAUUGGUAUCCAAGUGAACUUGGGACGUGUUCCUGAUUUUGUUUCUUCUCUCUUGUCUUUUCAUU